UCAGUGAACUGCAGUCUGCUGUCCCGUGUAGCGGUGGACAGCGAGAGGUCCAACCUGGAGGACAGAGUGAUGGAGUUGGAGGAACAGCUCAGUGAGACACACAGAGAGUGUGUGAUCAACACCAAAGUCUUCUGGAUGAAGCUGAGAAGAAACACGAGCAGGUGCUGGAGUCCAGUGUUCAGCUACAGAAAGAGAUCUACAAACUGGUAUCAGACAUGGACUUACUGUAGCCUCAGCUGAGCUGAAAGAGGAAGAGCUUCUUCAGACUAACAGGAAGUGCAGCAGGUUAAUGGCAGAGUGGGAACAGUACCAGGAUGUUUACUGUACCAUGAAGGUGAAGUACGACGGAAUGAAAGAAUCCGUGAAACAUUUGUAGAUUUUCAUCACAGACUUGUACAGAGCAUGUAGCGCCAUCACUUGGCCUGAAAAGCAGCUCAGUGGUCACGUGGUCGGUUAUGGCGCUCAAUAAGUUCCUGAUGUGGUUUCUGUUUGUAUUUUUUUCCUCAUUUCAUUAAUUCUUUCUUUGCAUGUGAAUGUGAAUGAAAAUAAAUCUCUUGUCACUGUGUGAUGUAAUAUUUUUGCUGGAAAUUGCAAUAAUAAAGUACUUAAAAUGUA